ensembl:lncRNA
GUCCUGGCCCGGUGAACCCACUCUGUGUUCACAUCCCUCUGGGUCCGUUAUUACACCAGGGCCGGUCCUGGCCCGGUGAACCCACUCUGUGUUCACAUCCCUCUGGGUCCCAUUUUACAUAUUAAAUUAUUAGGUGAGUGCUGCAUGCAGCGCUCAACUAUUGUUUUCAUAAGUUUUAUUCUUUCUUCCUAAAUUUCCUCUUUAUUAUUCUCUGCGAACUUUGGGACCUAUCUCCUUCCUCAAUUUUUCACCUAGAGACUCCAUUCAAAAUGUUUGGAAUCGCGCGUGUCUUUUCAGAUUAUUAAAAUAUUUGAUACUUUUUAAGAUAUUCUACUUUUAAAACACAAUCUUUUUUUAAUAUAGGAGUCAAUGGGAGGACGGGUCUUGAACAGAAGAGAAACGUCCACGUUAUUUGUAACUCAACUGGUUCAAGUGACCUCUGCGAACUGUUGAGCUAUGUAUGCUGCUCUGCUGUUUCUGACUUCCCCAAAUGAAAACGACACGACAUUUCACAAAAUCAUACAUAUUUACUGGGAGAACUUGAAUAUGGAUUCAUAAUUUAUUUUCCUAUUUUUUUGUGUUGAUAAUGAUUUAAUCCUAGAAGGCGGCCAGUAUACUGCUCUUAAAACAGUUCUGUGGGUCGUCUUCAUCCUGAUGAGGUGUUGGCGCUUUAAAUACAGCUUGUCACACCGCGGUGAGGGAUGUCAUGUCUUGGGUUUUUUGUCUUGUCGAUUUCCAGUUUUAUUUUUGAAAAGUAACUUCCCUCUCGUUUCAGGUCACUUGCCCUUCCUCCUGUGUCACCGGUCUGGUGUCUCCCCUGAUCCCUGAUUGUUUCCACCUAUGUCUCCCCUCCUCAUGUGUAUAUAGUCUUUUUCUUCCCUUGUCCUUGUCGCCAGAGUAUUUCGUUCGUCACUGUCCGUGUACCUCCAGCUUUUGACUCACAGCCUUGUCUUUGCCAUGUCCUGAACUAAAGUUUGUAUUUUUGACUUUCUGUUUCCUCUUCUGAGAAAGAGGGAUCUUUUGUUCGUAAUGUUUUUGGUCAGCCUGUUUGCAGUGCUGGAGUUAUUUUCCUUAGCCCUUUUCCUCCAUUUGGAGCGCUUUUGUUUUGUUCCCUUUUUAGCCUCAGAGCAGCGUAGCCUAGUUGUAUAGCCGCUUUUGUUUUCUUCUCCUUGUUAGCGAUUUUCUGUUCUUUUCCUACCACCUUAUUUGCCAGAUCAGAGUAGAGUUUAGUUUCUCGUUUUUCCAGAUAAGUGUGAUUUUAGUUUCUUGUGUUUUGUCAAGUUUUCCUCGCCUGUCGUUUGAGGGUUUCAUAGCAAUGAUUUCAUCACUUGUUUUGACGAGAGGUCAGGCAGUCCAAAAUAAAGCUUGUUUGGACCGUUCGCCUAUUUGCAUCUAGGUCCUCUUUCUAGAGCCGGCCUGACACGGCUGUGGUGAAAAGAAAGUGUCCCAAGCUGUUGCACCAAUUCCACUUUUGCUGUGAACAGACUCGAGACCUCCACUGAGACCACAUUGAGGUCGAGAUGCUCAACAUGGGGGCUUUGCUGCUGUUACUAAUCAGUGUGACUGAUGGUGUGAAGACCUUCUGCGACGCCACACAGGAAGAAUACACAGCCCGGUGCUUCGGCUCCCUGGGAGGAACCCUGGAGGUCAAGCUGUCCAAGACCUCAAGGCCUUUCAAUAUGAAGUGAAGCAAAACAAUGUUCUGAUUGUUCUUUCGACCCUCAGAUAUUAAACCCUCGAUUUUCAAUCACUUAUUCCUAGAAUAUUAACUGUAAAGGACCUCAACAGGUCGGACAAUGGUGAAUACUCAAUGCGUGACAUAUUUGGCUUAAGAAGAACAACAAAUUAUUUUUAUUUAUCCAUUGAAGCCCCGGUCUCCUCUCCCCUCCUGUCCCGGGAGUGUCUGUCCCGGGGACAGCAGAGGGUGUCCUGCGCUGCCGAGGGGGACGGACCCCACUACAGCUGGAGUCUAGACCGACUCCCGCUGAACGCCACGCGUCUCCUCUCUGGACACAGUAACGCUAGUGACAUCACUCUGGAGCCGGGCCUGUCGGGGCUGAUCACCUGCUCGGUCCGCAACAACGUGAGCGCAGCCGCGGCUAACCUAGCCCUGUCUGUGUGUGACCACCCCAUCCCUAUCGUCGCUCGUUAUCUGAUGGUGGUGGGGCUGCUGCUAGUAGCAUUGGGAGUCUACUGGGCACUGAAGAAAAAAAGAAAACUUCAAGACCUCAAGACAUCCCGCUGUCCUCCAUGGCGACCGGGGGAGCAGGGGAGUGAGGAGGAGAACGGCUGUUCCAGGUGGCUCCAGGCCUCAGGCGGACGCUGGAAGCUAAAGGGCGUCCUAUCCUAGCUGUCUCUGUUGUAUACAGGGAAUGGGUUAACCUAGUGAUUGUAAGUGCUUGUCACUUGGUUCUCUGAACAUCCUUCUGUACUGACAGCGAUAUAUACAGUUUCUAAGUCGCUUCGGAUACAAGCGUCUGCUAAAUGCCCUAAAUGUAAAUGUUAAUGUAAUUUUUUCAAUUAAUUAAUUAAAUUGAUAGCAUAUCAUAUUGAUUGAAUUUUUUUACUUUGCCUUUGUUUUCUUAUAUUUAUCUAUUUUAUUUUAUUAUUUCAUUUUAUUGUAUGGCAAUGUGUUUAUGUGAGGUACUUUGAGUCCGCCUCGUGUAUAUAAGUGCGAUAUAAAUAAAGUUGCCUUGCCUUACUUUCUAGGGGUUGUCAUCUUCUACUGCCAAAACAAACAAUAUGGCUGACAUUAAGUUGAUCCUUGGUGGAAAAUGCAAUAUUUUAAUAUCGUUUGUCAAGAAAAUUGGGUUUUAGAACAGUUCUAGCAAAAAAUAUGCAU